rnacentral:rRNA from 1 species
GAUGAACGCUGGCGGCGUGCUUAACACAUGCAAGUCGAACGGGAAGGGGUUGUUCUUGUGGCGUACGCGAGUGUCACGCGGAAGAAUAACACGUUGGUAGGGGGCCAACGACUGUGAGAGAUUGUCAGGACACCGGGGGUAAUGGCGGAUAGGGGCGCAUGCUGCCGGGUGGGGGUUGGCAAGUGUCGGCGGUGGUGGUGGGGUUCGCGGUUUAUCAGGUGGUUGUUGGGGUAGGGGCUUACCACGGCUUUGACGGGAAGCCGGCCUGAGCGGGUGACCGGCCACAUUGGGACUGAGAUACGGCCCAGACUCCUACGGGAGGCAGCAGUGGGGAAUAUUGCACCAUGGGCGGAAGCCUGAUGCAGCAACGCCGCGUGCGGGAUGACGGCCUUCGGGUUGUAAACCGCUUUCGCCUGUGACGAAGCGUGAGUGACGGUAAUGGGUAAAGAAGCACCGGCUAACUACGUG